AGUCAUAUGCUUGUCUCAAAGAUUAAGCCAUGCAUGUCUCAGUACAAGCCAAAUUAAGGUGAAACCGCGAAAGGCUCAUUAAAUCAGUUAUGGUUCCUUAGAUCGUACCAAAAUUUACUUGGAUAACUGUGGUAAUUCUAGAGCUAAUACAUGCAAACAGAGUCCCGACCGGAGACGGGAGGGUCGCUUUUAUUAGAACAAAGCCAAUCGGUGGCGGGCAUCCGCUCGUCAUCGCGCAAUCUGGUGAAUCUGAAUAACUUUCUGCUGAUCGCACGGUCUCGCACCGGCGACGCAUCUUUCAAAUGUCUGCCUUAUCAACUGUCGAUGGUAGGUUCUGCGCCUACCAUGGUUGUAACGGGUAACGGGGAAUCAGGGUUCGAUUCCGGAGAGGGAGCCUGAGAAACGGCUACCACAUCCAAGGAAGGCAGCAGGCGCGCAAAUUACCCACUCCCGGCACGGGGAGGUAGUGACGAAAAAUAACGAUACGGGACUCAUCCGAGGCCUCGUAAUCGGAAUGGGUACACUCUAAAACCUUUAACGAGGAUCAAUUGGAGGGCAAGUCUGGUGCCAGCAGCCGCGGUAAUUCCAGCUCCAAUAGCGUAU
rnacentral:rRNA from 1 species